AACUAGAGAGGUAUUAGUGAAUUCUUCUUCACAACCUGGGUCCAAUUGCCUGCUGGGAAGGAGCUUGGUGCUGCUGCUGCUGCUGCUGCUGCUGCUGGGUGAUCCAUGGAGCUAUGCUAUGGUGGACAGUUACCCCUCAGGAACACCUGGCAAGGGACACCUGCUGGUCCUAGCUUCACUGCUCUUCUCUCCAUCUUUGGAACCACGACUGGGAGGAAAGAACAAGCUAUGGAGUAGGGAUACCUCAUGCUGAUGAUACAAGAGGCCACAAGUGGAAAGUGGAAACAUGCAACGUGGGAAAACUCUUGUUAAUUACAGUCGAAGUCCACGUGACCGGAUACCUUCUGGGCUCGGUGCAUUUAUGGGAAACUCCCUUUGUUAAUGGGUUUUCUCCUUCUCUGACCUUGCGUGGGAAAUUCUAAGCCCCCGCACGAUCUCUUUUCCCUAUGGAUGCCAUGUAGCCUCACUUAGUUUAUAGGAUCGAUUUUCUUUCUCCUGAUAAAAACCCAUUCAGCAAUCACCUGAGGUACCUGAAGUGAUUCCCCACCCUAGCGAGGCAUUCUAGGCACCCCCAGCCCUGAGCCAAUGGCCAUUGCCCAUCCUUGAUGUCCCUACCCUUAUUCCCCCAAAACUUUUAAA
rnacentral:lncRNA from 1 species